CCAACCAUAUAGUAGAUCACUGUUUGAUAGGGAGUGUAAUGAUAAGGAUAUAUUUUCCCCUGUUUUCCUUCUUGCUUGAAUUGUUAUCCUCCUCGCUCAAGUGUAUGAUACAACUUUGGUGUGGCUUGUUCUGCAUAUAUAUUGUGACUAGAGUUUCUGAACAUAAUGCAUGACCAUUAAACUAUCUAGCACUGGUAAAUAAUCUUUGAGCACCCAAGUAGUCUAAGAAGUCCAAGUAGUUUAGGAAUAAUAAUAAGAAAAGUAAUAAAUCCAAUCGACACACACAUUUUAUAAUCAAUUUUUAAAUUAUCAUAUCAUAUCAAUCGAUGAAAAAUUCAACACAAUUGAUCAAAAUAGGAAAUGCCUUGUAAGUUUAGUAAAAGAUGCAACCCAAUAGUACAAAAUGCAUCCCAAUGACUGCACCUAGCUUCAUCUGUUUUAUCCUGCUAGCAAUGCAACAUUUUGAACCUUUUAAUAAUAUUAUCAUGUAUUAAUUUUUUGAUGGGGUACCGGGUAGGGUUAAUGAGGACACUUUCAUAUCCUGCUGGUAUAAUUUAUUAGUUGGGAUUUUACCUUUAUUCAACUCUAAUGUGUACAUUUGUUGCUCAAAUGACAUGUCCAUUAACUAUUGACACAUUUGACAUGUACAUCAGCUUCUUCUAAGGCUUCUGACUAGACCACUAAAGGAAACUUGACUCAAUGCUUUCAUAACCUGCAUAGAAGACACUCAUCCUAGUUAUAUACCCUGUUGAGCUUGCUCAUAUGAAUGCUUUAAUGAGGGUCUAAUUUCUAAAUUAAACCAAAUCUGGCCUGAGAUAGUUCUUAUAACUGGAUUUUUUUAGUUCAAUUUUUUUUUUGGUUUUGUUUUUCAUUUUUAGAUUCACAGCUUUUGUAACGCACUCUAACACAGGAACUGCUUUUAAAAACCUCUUCUAGCACCGCCUAGCUUUCACAUAAUGCUUCAAAUAUAUUCUUUUCUAUUUGUAUGUAUCUCAUUUCAAUUUUUUUGAUGAACUAUCAGUUUUAGUAGUCUAAAAUAAUGUACUCAAAUAAAAAACAAUCAUUUUCAGGAUCUCAGCAAAAAUUGUUCUCCUGGAUUAUCCUGUGAAUGUUUUUGUUAUUUUCUGUUUUGUUUCCAUGAUUGCUUUCCUUUUUGGUUUUGGAGUGUGACAAAAUGUGCGCUAUUUGAGUUGACCAUGUUGUUACAAAUCAGUCAGACAUUGUUGUGCUUCUGUGUGUGCUAGAAUUCAUUGCUUGGGCUCAGCGAAAUCCCAACCAUUGGAGUAUACUUCAUUUGACCUCUCAUAAACAUGGAUGUAAUUCUCUUGGAUUAACGCUCAAGUGGAUUAAAAGGAUUAAAUUUAUCAUUGGAAUAUAUCACCUCAAUUUAUUGCACCAAAACAGUAGCCCAUUUUUUUAAUUUUUGAACAAGCGGAAAGAAAACACUAGGAUUAUUUGACUCCUGGAGUAUAAACACUUCGCCUUUUGGAUAUAAGCAUGAUAUGUAUUGGAUAUAUUGAUAUAGAAGUUUGUAAACCUUGCUUGAUGGAUAUACUAUUUUUUUCCAAAUGGAUUACUAUUUUUAAUAUAUUCUUUGUUUGCUGAUUUAAAAACAUCGCACAAAUCACGUCUCAUCAAUGAAAUUAUAUUUGUAUUUAUUGCAGUGAACCUUAUUUGAAUAACAGCUGAACAAGAUGACUGUCACACAUUGUAGACUUAGUGCUAUUCUUAGAUCAUUUACUUUAGAUCCUGGUUGAAAAUAUUCUUAGAAACUUUUAAUUACUUUUUAGCUGCUUGAGGCCACACUUAAUAUCAUUGCCAUUUUCAAAUAACCUGCCUUUGCUUAUUGGAAACACAGCUUGAAAUAUCAAACCAUUAAAAUAGACAACCUCUUAUGCUCCCAAACUUUUCACUAGUAGAUUCUACUUUGCAUGCACGUUUUUUUUUUCCUUCUGGAUGUUGUUGAGUAUUGUAAGCAUAUUGCUCUUUUUUUUGUGUACAAAGCUUCUAUUAACUCACUCGUCUGUCUGUCUUCUGUCUGUCUGUCGGGAUUCUUUUACACACGUUCUCCCACUUCCCAUUCUCGUUCUCCCACUUCCCAUUCUCGACUUCCCAAUCUCGGAUGAAGUUGAAACUUUGCACAAUUAUUUGUUGUCUUUGACAACACACAAAUCAUAAACAAUUUUACCAAUUAAUUUAUUUGGGGUAAUUAAAUAAUUUUGUUUUAUAUAAACAUUGGAAGAAAAUGUGCAGUGCUUUCUCUUAUAUACGCUUAAUUAAAAAAAAACAUUUGCUAGUUUUCAAUAUUCAGAUACAUUUUCUUUGAUAAUGUUGUGAUAUGGUAACUUGAAAUGUGACAGACAUUGUCCUAACCAAUACUUGGUAGUAUGUGUAGCAAGCCUACUUGGUGCAUGUCUUGUAACUUGCUAGAUUACUCUUUUGGCAAAACAGAAAACCUUAAGCAAGUCUGUGGGAGAGUAAUUAGUUGUCAAUCAUUAUAGGAUUCUUAUUUGAAUUGCAUAGCUUCUACCACAUGCAUAAACAGGAUCCAAGUUUUUAUACAAGGGAAAUGUAUCAAAGGAUUAGUACUAAAGGGAAAUGGCCCUUAUUUGAAAUUAAACACAGAAAUCUAUCAAAAUAGAAAAUAUUAAUUAUUGAUUAUUUUCGCAUUCUUCGAGAAACAACGAAAACAAUUGUGGUUAAGGUUCUUGAUCCAUUUUUCAAGUUAACUUGUUGAAAUAUAGGAAUGACUUGAGUGUAGGAGGUAACUUGAAUGUUGAACUACAGAACUGGCUUGAGUGUAUGAGGUAACUUGAACGUUGAACUACAGGACUGACUUUUGAGUGUAUGAGGUAACUUGUUGAAGUAUAGGACUGACUUGAGUGUACGAGGUAACUUGUUGAAGUAUAGGACUGACUUGAGUGUACGCGGUAACUUGUUGAAGUAUAGGACUGACUUGAGUGUACGAGGUAACUUGUUGAAGUAUAGGACUGACUUUAGUGUAGGAGGUAACUUGAAAGUUGAGCUACAGGACUUGAGUGUAGGAGGUAACUUGAAUGUUGAACUACAGGACUGACUUGAGUGUAUGAGGUAACUUGAAUGUUGAGCUACAGGACUGACUUGAGUGUAGGAGGUAACUUGAACGUUGAGCUGCAGGACUGACUUGAGUGUAGGAGGUAACUUGAACGUUGAGCUACAGGACUGACUUGAGUGUAGGAGGUAACUUGAACGUUGAGCUACAGGACUGACUUGAGUGUAGGAGGUAACUUGAACGUUGAACUACAGGACUUGAGUGUAGGAGGUAACUUGAACGUUGAGCUACAGGACUGACUUGAGUGUAGGAGGUAACUUGAACGUUGAACUACAGGACUUGAGUGUAGGAGGUAACUUGAACGUUGAACUACAGGACUGACUUGAGUGUAGGAGGUAACUUGAACGUUGAGCUACAGGACUUGAGUGUAGGAGGUAACUUGAACGUUGAGCUACAGGACUGACUUGAGUGUAGGAGGUAACUUGAACGUUGAGCUAUAGGACUUGAGUGUAGGAGGUAACUUGAACGUUGAACUACAGGACUGACUUGAGUGUAUGUGUGUUGCUUACAUGCAACUGCUAUCUGGACAUCCUAACUGCUAUGUGGACAUCCUGACUGCUAUCUGGACAUCCUGACUGCUAUCUGGACAUCCUGACUGCUAUCUGGACAUCCUGACUGCUAUCUGGACAUCCUGACUGCUAUCUGGACAUCCUGACUGCUAUCUGGAUAUCCUGACUGCUAUCUGGACAUCCUAACUGCUAUCUGGACAUCCUAACUGCUAUCUGGACAUCCUAACUGCUAUCUGGACAUCUUUGCUAGCACGAACCCCAACGUCAACAUGUUCGCGAUUAUCUAAAGAUCUAAAACGUCAUUUACAAAGUUUCUCAUUCUGAAGCAAAAUCUCUCUACCCCGAACUCCGACUGCAGAAUGUGUUCAGCGACAUGCGUAAUACUGGCAGUCGAGGCGCUGUGUGUGGACAGGCAAACGUUAGCAAUUUGAUCUGAUCUUGUUUGUUCUUCUUGAGGCCAACCCAAGGACACAGUCAAACCACCCGCAGUUACCCUACCUGGUAAUAUGUAACACCAUGACAUUGACAGUUACGUUACUUAAUAUGCAAGAAAUUUCAAAAUUUUCUUAUAAUAGUAAUAAUAAUAAUGUAAUGUCCCUUGGGAGAUUUGUUUUACUAUUGUACAUUAUACAAGUGUGUGUGUGUGUGCAGCUGGGAAUGAAGUUGAACUGCUUUAGCUCCGUUGAAGACCUUCACGAGUGACAAUUACAUAUAUUUUU